rnacentral:rRNA from 1 species
UACGUAGGGUGCGAGCGUUGUCCGGAAUUAUUGGGCGUAAAGAGCUCGUAGGCGGCUUGUCGCGUCGGAUGUGAAAGUCCGGGGCUCAACUCCGGAUCUGCGGUGGGUACGGGCAGACUAGAGUGAUGUAGGGGAGACUGGAAUUCCUGGUGUAGCGGUGAAAUGCGCAGAUAUCAGGAGGAACACCGAUGGCGAAGGCAGGUCUCUGGGCAUUAACUGACGCUGAGGAGCGAAAGCAUGGGGAGCGAACAGG